UAGAGUGUGACUGCCAGUAGUUAAAUUUUGCCUGACAGAGGAAGCUGCUUCUUGGAUUAUAAAGACGAGUUUCAAUAGACAGACAUCCACAUGCUGUUUUGUAAGGAUACAUAUAAUCCCUGGAUAUAACCAUGUUUUUGUGGCUAGAACUCUUGGUGUUUGGCUUGGCUCUUGUGGACAUGGAUGUUUUCAUAAAUGGCCAAUCAACACCACCAGGAACGUCUAUUAGGGCAGCCACAAAUGAUGAUGGGAGCACUUUCUUUACACCAACCACUGGCACCACAACAAGCAUCUCUUCAGCCUUUCCAAACACCACCUCAAUAGACGAUAAUAAGGAGUGUG